GCUUUAGUAGCUUACAUCUUAAAGCGUUGUCCUUGUAAGACAAAGCUGGAACCACCCCUAGAGCA
rnacentral:tRNA from 2 species